CUUUGUGAACUACUUCAGCAGGCCAAGCCAAGCUGGUCUUCCAGCACCACGAAUUUAUGUCCUUACAGUGGCUUCCUGCCAGCAUCCUCUCUAUUGAACUGUAUUUACAUUAGCACUGUAAAACAUUACUUCAUUCAAGUGUCUGAAGUGAAGCACUCACUCCUUCCAUGCACUUAGUUCCUGAUUGUUGCCAGCUGGUGAGAAGUUAGCAGAUUGCUUUUCCCAGCUGGGCCCUGCCAUUCCUCCUAUAAUGAGAAUUAAAGAUAGUGGAUCACUGAGAUUAUUUAAGCUUUAGUUGCCCUUAGGUGGGGGUAAGUGCAAAAUAUUAGAUACUUCCUUCAGCUUAGGUUGAAAGAGGAAUCCUUCUGUUAGCUUCAGCAGACAUUGCCUUGGGUAUCCUUGGGUAUCAGUUCUUGAUGUCCUUGAGUCUACAUAGUGGGUCAUGGCUGGUCAGCAAUGAGGGAACAUUAAAGACUCUGGAAGUGCAUUUUGGCUCUGUCAAAGAAUGGUGAGACCAAAGCAGGAGGAGAACCUGAAGCACACCUUCCUUUCCCCGACACCCACAGGAGAAGCAGUGAGGAGGAGUCUUCUAUGGGGUGAAGAGUUGAGGGGACAGAAGGCCUCUUAUAAAUGCUGCUGGAGAUAGAAGAAAUAAAACCCAUUUGGCUCUGUCCUGAAAGAAUGUGAAGAGUAACCUGACCUAUAUGCAGACAGGUAUUCCCAGACUAACUAAAAAGGAAGUUACUUGACAAUUGUAGGCACAGUUCUGGGAAACCCAUGUGUCAGGUUCCACUUAGCCAGAGGCUUUGUGUGUGACCUGAAAGAUACCACUUGCCCUCUUUACACCUCAUUUUCCCAUCUAUAAAAUUUCUGACUCUUGUCUUGUCAAUAUAAUGUUAGUACUGCUAACAGGAACUCUCCCUUUCCUUGUCUGUUUAGAGAAUUCAGCAUAAUGCUACAGCUUAGUUGCAGUUUGCAGGCUCUGCUCUAAUAGAACUGAUAACUGUAAUAAGAAAACAUUUCAAAUUUUACUUCUGUUUAUGAUCACCAUUUGAAAACACUAAGUAUUUGUUCUUUGUUUGGGUGGGUGGUUUUACUUUUUUGUUUUGUUUUUAAUGUUGUCCUUUUAGGACUAUUUUAGGCUGGUACAGAGGACUAUGUCUUAAUUCUUUUCUUCCCCAAAUGAGCACAUACGUAUACUUUAUGGAAAAAAAAAAAAAUAUAUUUUCCACACCCAGCUCUUCAUAUAAGCGUCUUGUGCAUUCCAUGCAUGCCAGGUGAAGGAGUAAGACCCGCUGAAGCUCUCACUUGAGGCAGAGGCUUGCUUUGGUUAGGAGCCCACAUAAAAUGACUCAAAUCUUUUUUGAGAACUUUUGAAAUCUACAGAAAUUUGGCAGCUGAUCCAGAAUUGCUGGGAGAUGGCAGUACACCUGAACUGUUGAUACAGAAGCAAGUCACUGAUGCAUAUGCCUAAUUAGUGUAGAGCAAAAGAGGACCGUGGGACUGAGUAAGAUUUGCAGACUCCCUAAAUCUAAUCUAUUGCUGUCAUUAUCCGCUUGUUUUCCUAACGCUGCUCGUGGACUCCUCAAAUCCAUCUUAAAACAGCUGCUUACUACUUUUUGCUAUCACUACAGUUCAUUGACUUCACAGCAACAAUUUGAAGAACUUGGAAUCAGACUCCUCCUCCGCACUGAGGGUACUGAAACUCACCUGGACACUGUCUAAACAUGUGCCUCAAAUGAAACCUGUGCAUUAAUCAGUGAGUCCAGUUCUUCAAGAUAUGUAUGCACCUGACACGUUGUUGAAUUUGCAUCCUUUACUUAGACAUGCAGGCUCCCUUAUAACUGCUUCUGUAGGAGUUUUCAGAAUGUGAUUAGCACUCCUAGGGGUGGAAAGAGGUAGAGGAGGUCAUGAGAUGACAGCAAAGGGAUGGAAGUCCUCUGCAGCAUGAGAUGGUUUUGCUGCUGAGCAGUGGGCUGAAUUGCCCAUUCUCUAUGAUUAUGUAAUGAAAGACCCCAUUGUACAACGUGAUACACACAGGGGAAAGGGGCUAGAGCUGCUCUGGGAACCUUCAGCCUGAACUUCCUGACCUUUGCGCAAUUAAAAUUUCAGACAGCCUUGCAUGUACGCGUGCUUUUGGCACUGCAUUCUCGAGAGGGUGGCUGUUUUCAUUUCGGCCAAGAGACUUCAAAACAUUGUUGGAUAAAUAAAUGUAAAUCAGCUGCAGAUACCAUUGUGUGUGACUCUCACUCCCUAAAACUGCUGCGAAUACUAAACUGAGAGUCUGAGAGCUGUUUAUGUUAAUAAGGUAAUUUGAAAGGUGCUAGGGUGAGGUAAGGGAAAACAAAGAGAAGGAUCAGCAAAGUGCUUAUGAACCCUAGUCUGUUUUUCCUUUCACUGGCAGUGCAGCCAAGUGCUGCACAAAACAUAUGAUUGUUGCCCUCUUUAACUCCAGUUUUCCUCUGCAAAUUCCAAGCAGGCCUAACACUCCUGAUUGUUAAGCACAGCCCUGUGCACAGGCUGCCCAGCAGCUGCUUUUUCAGGUACAGCUCUCAGUCUCCUGUAACUUGUUAAUUACAUACUGCCUAUCUGAAUAUGCCAGAUGACUGUGUGAACUUUUUGUGACUUAAUAUUUACAGCACAUUAGCUCUUGCAAGCCCCAUCUGAGUUUGGACUGGAUAAUGCAGUAUAAUUUGUGCCGUAUAAUGUACAAGCCUGCCUUAGGGAUAGUAUCUUGGAGAGAUAUCUGAGCUAGCUGUAAGUAAACACAGUCCUAUAUAUGAAGGAGUCUCAUCUUCUCCGCAAGGUCAAUUAUCAGUUACCCCAGUAGAUUUCCACGCUAAGAAAGCUCAACUGUUUCUGAACUAAUUUUGGUGUCUGGACAGUGAAAGCAUACUCUGCUGGAGACAAGGCCUGAACCUGGGUUUCUCUACUGCCCUUCAUACACGUGCUUGUAAGAAAUGCACACCUUGUCUUCAUUAACUCCAAGGCACUUUCUUAAAGUUCUUGACAAUAUACGAGUGCAAAAAUAUGACAGUGGGAGAAACUAUAAUUUUCUGCCUCAGCAGUGCUAAAGACUUUAGUGUAAAUGGCGAUUAAGCUCUGAUUCUGGAUAAUACAGCACGAUCAGUGACACUAAGUCCUUGGAAUUUGUGGGGAUUUUCUUUUCUUUCCCCCAAAAGGAGAACAACCACCCUAACAGGUCACUGGCUUCUCAAAGGGGAAUAUUUCCAGAUGGAAAAUGGACUAAGCUCUGCUCGGAGGGAGGCCUUUCUGGUAUGGAAAGAAUGAAUAAGCUAUGGUACAUGUCUUCCAGUAUUUGGUAACUUUAGUAAAUUCCAAGCAAGCUGAGAGUUUUAUUCAUUGCAGCACAGGGCAAUGUACUCAUUCACUGGGUUCACCUUCACAUGCUUUUCUCCCCAGUCUCUAGAUGAGGAUAAGAAGAUUUAAAAAAAUAUUCUGGUUAUGAGUCAUCCAAGUGUCAUAAUCAAGACCUGGUAAUACCACAUAAUAUCAGUCUCAUGCAAGCUAUAACUCCCUCUGGGAUGCUGAGCCAUGCAGCGUUUCAGCGCUGUACACUUUCCUGUUUAAAUACAUUUUUGUGGCCCAGCUCAGGUCUAGACUACUGUAAUUCAAAAUCCAGAAAAUCUACUUAAU